AAAAAUAAAUUGAUUACAAACUCGUUAUUCACGAGAUUCCAACCUAAGAUGCUAAAAGUGUGUUUGUUUGAGUUCACUAGCCUUCAUUGGAUUGGACUACACUAAAAAUUAGUGUAGUCCCGUGUUUGUUAAUCAUAGGGACUAAUUUUAGUGGGACUAAACAAGAUUCGUCUCGACUAGAGACCUCGUUAGAGGUUCUUAGCGAAGCCCCCCAAAAUGCAGCGGAAUGCUAUGCCUUUCCUUCGUUUGCUUCGUUUGUUCGCUGCCUCAUCGUAAUCAACGACCUCGAUGUCAAAUCGUUCACUCCUUCCCUGCAUGGGUCUUCGUCUCUCUCCCUGCUCUAUCUCAUUAAGACCCACCCCUAAAUCCCAAAAUUGAAUUAGCACCCACCGAUGGGUCGAUUUGAUCCGAGGCCCAGAUCGAUGCCGGGGCCACCCCACUCCUUUUCCCAAGGUCAUCUCCCGCUCUCUUUGUCUAAGUCUCGACGAUGGCUACCACCGUCGUAGCACCGCUUCAACUUGCUCAAAAUGAGGCUGAAUUUAAAUGAUGUUGGCUGCGAAGUCCAUCUGGGCAUGACAAACUGAUAUUUUCAAAUGGAAAGAUGUAAUGCCAUAUAUCCUCAAUCUUCAUCAGAUUUGCUUAUUUUUUGGUAAUAUAAUAUGAAUUUCAAAUUUUUGAAUAUGUUUCAUUUGGUUUAAUGGUGUUUGCAAUGGUGGUUCUUUCUAAUUUAAGCUGAAAUUAUAGAAAGCACCAUUUUUGGGUUUGUAUAUAUAUAUGUGUGUGUGUGUACACACACAUAUACAUACACGCACACAUAUAUGUAUGUAUAUAUGUUUUUGCUAGAUCUGAUGUAUGGCUUUUGUAUUAUUUGUUCUUGUUGGUAUAUUUCCUUAUUCGCAUAACCCACAUUGAUUCUUUUGUGUAAAUUUGAUUUUUUUGGGGAAAAGUUGUGAUGGGUUGCUUUGUUGUGGAUGGGUUUUUGUUUAAAUGUGAAACAAAUUAUCAAUUGUUGGAACUUGGUUCUGAAAUCUCAAGAAUUUUGCAAUUUCUAAUAUGGUAAAUGGCACUAGUGGCAAUUGCCAGUAGAAGAAAGGAGGUUGGAUUAAAGAUGAUAUUUGAGUGACACCAAUAUACUUUGAACAUGACGAAGAUGAAAUGUUUAACAGGAAUAACAAUAUUUGGUUGAAAUUGAAGUUGAAGCAAAUAAAAUAUUUUGUAAUAUAUCAUGGGUUUUUUAUUUUUAUUUUUUAUUAUCCUGCUUCUUAAUCCGAAAUUGUACUAAACACUUCACCAAGUUAGUUUAGCUUAGU
rnacentral:lncRNA from 1 species